GUAACUCAUUAAAGCAUGGUAAAACCUUCACAUGUGUAAGCCCAAAGUGCCUUGAUGCUCUGAGCACCUUAGUCCAGGUGUUCACAUUUAAAGGACAACGACUGAACCAAUGAAGGCACAGACUUAACCUGAUUAGUUACAUGCUCUGAUGCUGCUCUGGCUACAUGGGAAUGAAAGCAUUUAUAUGUAGGUUCACAGGAACAGUUGAUAAAUACAAUUUUAUGGUAGUAUGUCUUACAGGCCAAAAUAAAAUCAUGUACUAGCUUAGUGUUACAGCCUUCUCACAGCAGCACACACCAUGUACAGGAAACAAGGGCAGGUCUAUGUGUAAACAGAGGAAGUGGACAAUUCAUAACAAAUGCUGUGACCCCGCACAGCACGGAGGGGCGCAGGCCCGCAGAGGUCACCCCGUGGCUGGAGCUGCAGAAGCCCUGUGUGUGCUUGGGUCCUGGUGACUGCGCGCCUCCUGCUUGUUCGAUGUGCUCUCGGACUUGGGAUUUUGUGGUGCCUGACCUCAUGCCUUAUUUAUCGCAAGUCCUUCAAACACUUUCCUGGGAACACAGUUAUUAAGCAAGAGGCCUCUCCAUGGGGUUUAUUCUUAAACCAUCUGAGAGUUUCAUGAAUAUUAACGUUCCUCCAUUAUUUUCCUCUGUUCUUCUCUAAUAAGGUGGUAACAUGAUCCCCACUGAACAUAUAGAACAGAAGCUCGGAAUGCUUCAGAUUAAAAAACAAGCCAACACAACAGGUGAAUUUUAGCACCAUGGCGUGAGGAGCCCCAGCACUGUGGGAUGAGCACAGGUGUGUGGGGUUGUGCUGGGCGGGACACGAGCACGUUUCCUGAUGCAGUCUGGGAGGGCAGGAGCAGUGUUAGAAGCUUGCAGUGAUGAAAGGGAAUUGAGGUUCCUGAAGGAGUGUGAAAGUGUCAUUUGCUGCAAAAGGUUGGAAUUGUGGAUACCCUGCAUCCUGAACCCGCUGCAGACUGUCUGGAGUACCUGCAGGAGAGCAAAGGCAGAAGAACUGCAUUCGUACUUUGUGGGAGUGAAUUACAGCGAGGACUUCUACCUGCCGCAGCUAUACCCAGGUUAAUAUACCAGUGCACACCAACUGCUUAGGAAUACGUGACAACUCUGUUCUGGGUGCUGGACUGAGAACACCAAACUCGUUUCAUGAGUGAAAGCUUUCAGAAGAACAGUUCUCGGUAAAGGAGAGAAUUUCAAACACCUUCAUAAAUGCAGCGUGGGAUGUUUGUAUCAGCCAACUUUCUAAAUUUUCCUUUUCCUGCCAGAAAUUUUCUUUUCUAAAAAUAUUUGACUUUGCUGUCUAAUCUAGAGAUGGAUAAUAUAGUGCUGAUUUUAAAAAUCUGACUGGUGCAGGAUAUAAGAAUGACUUCUAAAACAGUGCCUGAGUCGCUUUGGAACACAUUUUAUAACCAAAUGCACUGUUCAGGGCAUGGUGUGGUUUCUGCACAACCCCCUGCUUCCCCCCAGUUACCAUUACUGCCUUCCUAAUCUGCUAGAGCAUUUAGUGCCCUCCUCUUAUCCUAAGAAAAAUACAAUUGCUGGCUCUGAUAUUCAUUAAGUGAUAAUCCAGAUUAAUUCAGACUUUGAUGGAGAAUCAGGUCCUAUUUCAGCCACAAAGAAAUUCACAUUGCCCCACAGAAAAUGCAUGCGUGCACACACAUGCACAUAUACACGCUCAGGCAGUAUGUAGAAUGCCUUAAAGAAACUGUAGCUAACCACCUUAUUAGUAUUCCUCCCUCCUCUGUGUUUCACUUGCAGCAACAGAGGGCUGAGCAAAAUGCAGUAGAACAGGGACAGAGACAGAGCUGGCAAUCAUCUCAGUGCAGGCUGCUGAAUGUAGGGGGUGGGGGGGAUGCAGCAAAGCAAGAUUAAUAACCUUGCCAUAAUCCUGUGCACCCUGGAAGGAGAUACCUCUGGUGACUGAGCUGUUCUUGUCUUGAUUAAUUGGACUGAGCGAAUGAGUGGCUGGCAAUCCACCUGGUUUGGAGGCGACCCCCUGGUUUUGCUGCUCUCUGAAUCCUCUACCCAUCUGGGAAGGUAACAGUGAGACGUACCAUCUGCAGCACACACAGCAGCUAUUGGAGGCUACUACUGACAGUUUGCACUACAGUUUUUUGGUGAGCAAGAAGCCAGGUAUAUCGUGCAGUAGGAUAUUUCUGUGCUCAAGCUACUGAAUUUUUGCAAUCUGGUCCUUCAGCAACCCCCUACGCGCCCUCUUCCAAUUGCCUUUGAGUUCUGGGCUUACUUUUGGCAUAGUCUCCUGGACGCAUUUUGCUGGGGAUGGAAGAGCAGUAAAUGGAACCUCUGAAAACUAAUUGUUUUGCUUCUGUGUGACUCGAGAGAGAGAAAAGCAAGAAGAAUCAAGUGCAGCUAGAGGAAUUUACAUUUCUUUUGGAGAAGUUUGCAGAGGGACCAUAAAAAAAAGGUAAAUCCAGGGGGUUGCCUACCCCUUCUGUCUCCUAGCCUGAUUGUGCUUGUUUGUUUGGGCUUGAAAAAAAGAUGAAACACAAGUAGCAGGUGGCAUGGAGUGUGGUGUUUGUAAAUUCUGUGCUUAUGAUUUGUAUCCUCUUUUUGUUUUCUUAUCCUUUUUCUUUUCCCUGCUGUUUGCACAGCAAAAAUGCUUGCAGAAUAAUGAUAGUAGUGCUGGAAAACAUUACUUGAAUAGCACUAGAAAGCUCCUUUCAUUUCAAAGGUAUUAGAAUUUACUGGGAGGUUUUUUGUUAUCAUCAAACCAGCUUAAAAUAUUUGGAAAGGAUCUAGAAUAGGCAAGAAAUAAAGCUCAUGUAAUGUGGUCA
ensembl:lncRNA